rnacentral:rRNA from 1 species
CCUACGGGAGGCAGCAGUGAGGAAUAUUGGUCAAUGGCCGGAAGGCUGAACCAGCCAUGCCGCGUGAAGGUCAGUGCCCUAUGGGCGUUAAACUUCUUUUGUGCGGGAGCAAUAAUGGUCACGUGUGGCCAGACGAGAGUACCGUACGAAUAAGCAUCGGCUAACUCCGUGCCAGCAGCCGCGGUAAUACGGGGGAUGCAAGCGUUAUCCGGAUUUAUUGGGUUUAAAGGGUGCGUAGGCUGUGAGGUAAGUCAGCGGGGAAAUGCCCCCGCUCAACGGGGUGAAGUGCCAUUGAUACUGCCUUGCUGGAAUGCGGAGGCCGGGGGAGGAAUGGGUGGUGUAGCGGUGAAAUGCAUAGAUAUCACACAGAACACCGAUUGCGAAGGCAUCUCACGAAUCCGCGAUUGACGCUGAUGCACGAAAGCGUGGGUAUCAAACAGGAUUAGAUACCCCAGUAGUC